UACGUAGGGUGCAAGCAUUAAUCGGAUUUAUUGGGCGUAAAGGGCGCGUAGGCGGAAAUGCCAGUCAACUGUGAAAUCCCGGGGCUCAACCCCGGAACAGCAUUUGAAACUACAUUUCUAGAGGGUAGACGGAGAAAAACGGAAUUCCACAAGUAGCGGUGAAAUGCGUAGAUAUGUGGAAGAACACCAGUGGCGAAGGCGGUUUUUCUAGUUUUUAUACCUGACGCUGAGGCGCGAAAGCAAGGGGAGCAAACAGG
rnacentral:rRNA from 1 species